rnacentral:lncRNA from 1 species
AAAAAACCUAAACCCGUCAAAGUGAAAGCCUAAGUGGUAGAACCUCUCCCAGCCGUCUGCGUGGAGGGAACCAGAACCGUCUCUUUGCAUUUUUCCCUAGUAGGUCUGUAUGUGCGCACCCCCCAGAACGCAGUAGGAUACCUGUUUAUCUUCUGGAGGAGGAGAAAAUUAGAAGAAGAGGCAUCGAGCAAAAGGCUGUAACUUCUAGGAGCACAGGGAGCCUGCUCUUCCAGGCAGGCCCAGGCUCUGCUCGCCGGCCAGAGAGCUUCUGGCCUCAUCUCAGCCACAAGGGGAGGAGGAAUCCUUUCCUCAGAAAGUGGAGAGCAGGUAAGUUACUUUGGUUUUGUUCUGCAUCUACACAUGUCUCCCUAAUCAGAAGAAUUUCUACGUAAUAUAAUGGGAUCUGAACGUUGCUUUAUUUAUUGAUUUACUUUUGGUGAG